ensembl:lncRNA
CAGCACUGUCUGGAGCACUGGCCCCCCUGCUGUGGCAGGAAGGGCAAGGAGCAAGGGCUAACCCACACCAAACACCAACCCCAGCACCGUGUCGGGGCCACUGCCAGCUGCAAGUGCCUGGACUCUGCCCUAUUGCCUUCCUGUCCCCAAGCUGGGCUGUGGAUGUCACCUGCAGCAGCCGCUUGUUGCCAUGUGCAUCAUGAUCCCAUGGGAUGUUUGCCACCUUCUGCUCCCCAUUUCCUACCAUGUGUAUCCAGGAGAGAUACACACAUGCAUCCUUGGCCCACAGGAAACCAUUCACACUAAAGCCAGGCUGCAGCUCCACAAAGCUGCUCCAUUCCCAGGAGCACCGGCUCCUAACUCCCAGCAUGUGCGUUCCCAUACACAAAGGGACUCCAGACCAGAAGCCAUCUGGCCGCACCCAAUUCCCCUUCUCCAGAACAUCCAUGGAACUGCUCUGAUCAAGGCAGGGCUGCCACCCACUCGGUCACUGAGCUGGUUCUUCAGCAUGUGCCUCAAGGGAGCAGUGAGUGCCCUGCACUGGGGUUGCUCCCCACUGGAGCCACCACCUCUCAUCACGUGGAGCAGCCUCAGGAGGGGGAAGGAGCCAACCAUCCAGCUGCAGCUCCACCUUCCCAGCACUGCCAGAUGUGCCUCCACGUUGUGUUGCACCUGCAACCCACUCUGGAGAUCCUUCCCUGCCUCCUGCGCUGCUGACCACCAGCUCCACGGGAUCCCCAGCCUGUCCCUGUAG